rnacentral:rRNA from 1 species
UACGUAGGGUGCAAGCGUUGUCCGGAAUCAUUGGGCGUAAAGCGCGCGUAGGUGGCUUCGUAAGUCCGUUGUGAAAGUCAAAGGCUCAACCUUUGAAUGCCGAUGGAUACUGCGAAGCUAGAGUACGGAAGAGGCGAGUGGAAUUCCUGGUGUAGCGGUGGAAUGCGCAGAUAUCAGGAGGAACACCCGUAGCGGAAGGCGGCACUCUGGCCGAUACUGACACUGAGGAGCGAAGCGUGGGAGCGAACAGG